rnacentral:rRNA from 1 species
UACGGAGGGCGCGAGCGUUACCCGGAUUUACUGGGCGUAAAGGGCGUGUAGGCGGCUUGGGGCGUCCCAUGUGAAAGGGCACGGCUCAACCGUGGAGGAGCGUGGGAUACGCUCAGGCUAGACGGUGGGAGAGGGUGGUGGAAUUCCCGGAGUAGCGGUGAAAUGCGCAGAUACCGGGAGGAACGCCGAUGGCGAAGGCAGCCACCUGGCUCACUGGUGACGCUGAGGCGCGAAAGCGUGGGGAGCAAAUCGG